AAUGAACGCUGGCGGCAGGCCUAAAACAUGCAAGUCGAACGCCCUAGCAAUAGGGAGUGGCGCACGGGUGAGUAACAUGUGGGAAUAUGCCUUUUGGUACGGAACAACGUUUGGAAACGAACGCUAAUACCGUAUGGUCCCUCCGGGGUAAAGAUUUAUCGCCAAAAGAUUAGCCCGCACUAGAUUAGCUAGUUGGUAAGGUAAUGGCUUACCAAGGCGACGAUCUAUAGCUGUUCUGAGAGGAAGAUCAGCCACACUGGGACUGAGACACGGCCCAGACUCCUACGGGAGGCAGCAGUUAGGAAUAUUGGACAAUGGGCGAAAGCCUGAUCCAGCCACGCCGCGUGAGUGAUGAAGGCCUUAGGGUUGUAAAGCUCUUUCGCCAGGGAAGAUAAUGACGGUACCUGGAAAAGAAGCCUCGGCUAACUCCGUGCCAGCCGCCGCGGUAAAAC
rnacentral:rRNA from 1 species